UCUCCGUUGAGCCCCGCGCCUUCGCCCGGGUGGGGCGCUGCCCUGUCAGCGGCCUUGCUC
ensembl:misc_RNA